rnacentral:tRNA from 1 species
GCGAUAGAAGCAGAAAGUUAUUGCGUCGGCCUUGUAAGCCGAAAGAUAAAGGUAAUGAAUCCUUUCUAUCGCU